UAGGGUUUGAUUAUGGCUCAGGAUGAACGCUGGCGGCGUGCUUAACACAUGCAAGUCGAACGAACCUUCGGGUUAGUGGCGGACGGGUGAGUAACGCGUGAGAAUCUGCCCUCAGGAGGGGGAUAACAGCUGGAAACGGCUGCUAAUACCCCAUAUGCCGCGAGGUGAAAUGAAUUUCGCCUGAGGAUGAGCUCGCGUUUGAUUAGCUAGUUGGUGUAGGUAAUGGCUCACCAAGGCAUCGAUCAGUAGCUGGUCUGAGAGGAUGAUCAGCCACACUGGGACUGAGACACGGCCCAGACUCCUACGGGAGGCAGCGGUGGGGAAUUUUCCGCAAUGGGCGAAAGCCUGACGGAGCAACGCCGCGUGAGGGAUGAAGGCCUCUGGGCUGUAAACCUCUUUUAUCAAGGAAGAAGAUCUGACGGUACUUGAUGAAUAAGCCACGGCUAAUUCCGUGCCAGCCGCCGCGGUAAUACA
rnacentral:rRNA from 1 species